rnacentral:rRNA from 1 species
AUGGCCUUGGAGACAUGCCUCAGAGGCUGGGCCCUGCACGCGCCCCAGGCUGGCAUCAGGGAACGGCUUAGCAGUGGCAGCUACGCGCCAUCCCGGCCAAGGACCGCCGCCCCCGCCGUCGUCUCGCCGUCCCCAUACAAGUACGCUCUGGUGGCGGCACGGCGGCCGUCUCGCUUCGUCUGCAAGUGCAAGAACGUCGUCGACGAAGUGAUUGUGGCUGACGAGAAGAAUUGGGAUAACAUGGUGAUCGCGUGCGAGUCGCCGGUGCUGGUGGAGUUCUGGGCGCCAUGGUGCGGGCCGUGCCGGAUGAUUGCCCCGGUGAUCGACGAACUGGCAAAGGACUACGUGGGCAAGAUCAAGUGCUGCAAGGUGAACACGGACGACUGCCCAAACAUCGCAUCCACCUACGGCAUCCGGAGCAUCCCCACCGUGCUCAUGUUCAAGGACGGCGAGAAGAAGGAGAGCGUCAUCGGCGCCGUCCCGAAGACCACCCUCUGCACCAUCAUCGACAAGUACAUCGGCAGCUAA